rnacentral:rRNA from 1 species
CCUACGGGUGGCAGCAGUGAGGAAUAUUGGUCAAUGGACGCAAGCCUGAACCAGCCAUGCCGCGUGCAGGAUGACUGCCCUACGGGUUGUAAACUUCUUUUAUACAGGAAUAAAGUGAGGCACGUGUGCCUUUUUGUAAGUACUUUAUGAAUAAGGAUCGGCUAACUCCGUGCCAGCAGCCGCGGUAAUACGGAGGAUUCGAGCGUUAUCCGGAUUUAUUGGGUUUAAAGGGUGCGUAGAUGGGUUGUUAAGUCAGUUGUGAAAGUUUGCGGCUCAACCGUAAAAUUGCCACUGAUACUGGCAGUCUAGAGUAUAGUUGAGGUAGGCGGAAUGCGUGGUGUAGCGGUGAAAUGCUUAGAUAUCACGAAGAACUCCGAUUGCGAAGGCAGCUUACUAAACUGCCACUGACAUUGAUGCUCGAAAGUGUGGGGAGCAAACAGGAUUAGAUACCCGGGUAGUC